AUUGAACGCUGGCGGCAUGCCUUACACAUGCAAGUCGAACGGUAACGGGUCCUUCGGGAUGCCGACGAGUGGCGAACGGGUGAGUAAUAUAUCGGAACGUGCCCAGUAGUGGGGGAUAACUGCUCGGAAGAGCAGCUAAUACCGCAUACGACCUGAGGGUGAAAGGGGGGGAUCGCAAGACCUCUCGCUAUUGGAGCGGCCGAUAUCAGAUUAGCUAGUUGGUGGGGUAAAGGCCUACCAAGGCAACGAUCUGUAGUUGGUCUGAGAGGACGACCAGCCACACUGGGACUGAGACACGGCCCAGACUCCUACGGGAGGCAGCAGUGGGGAAUUUUGGACAAUGGGCGCAAGCCUGAUCCAGCAAUGCCGCGUGCAGGAAGAAGGCCUUCGGGUUGUAAACUGCUUUUGUCAGGGAAGAAAUCUUCUGGGCUAAUACCCCGGGAGGAUGACGGUACCUGAAGAAUAAGCACCGGCUAACUACGUGCCAGCCGCCGCGGUAA
rnacentral:rRNA from 1 species